UAUUUUAUAUGAAUGUUGGGUUAAACCCGCUUGGGGAAGAGAGGGGUCUUGACAAAUGGAAAAGUGAUAUAUGACAGAAACCAAGGCUUAGAGAACCCCCAAACUCCUAGGUUUAUCUAAAACAGUUCUCAAUUGUGGCACAUCCACAGUUGAGUGUUACAUCCACAAAAAUUAUAGGAGGAUGCUCACUUAUGCCAUGAAAAUAUGGAGAAUAUUUGCAGGGAUGGAUUUGAGGGUUCUUGACCAAGAAAAUGGAAAUGGAAUUUUUAGAUGAAGCCAAAUUAAUCGAUAAGAUCACACUUGUCACUGUGGUUGCCUGGGUAGCCAGCUAUAUUUCUAACAGUGUACUGAGCUGGUUAAUCCCCACAACACUGCAAAGCUGGGAAUAAUUUGGGCCAAAAGAAGGGAUAAAAAAAUUUUAGGGGAUAGCAGUGUGGGUUUAGAUCUGUCGUGCAAUCUGUCCCUGGACCCCUCAGAGGUGCCCUAAUGUAUUCGAGAAGACUCUCAGUUUAAUUUUGCCACAAGGAAUGGAUUAGUGAAGGAGGUAUCAGAAUCUUUAAAAAGCACUUGACUGGCUGCCCUUUCUAGGCUGAGAAUGCUGAUGGAUAGGGCCACAUAAUCUCAGUAGGGGUGGCAGAGUCCUAUGACACAAAGGUACAAGUAGAGGGCAUGGUCAUCACAUAGCAAGGUAAAUGCGAGGAUCAAAUCUCAGGGGAAUCUUACCAUAGUGAGUUUAUGAAAAUUUAUUUUUGAUUGUAGGAGCUAUAUGUGACUAUUUUAUAUUGCUAAAAAUUAAAACAAAGAGAAUUUAAAAAAUAAGAAUCCAUAAGAUAUGAAUAAGAAAAUAGAUAAAAAGCAAAGCCUCCCUAGAUGCCUCCCUCUAGUGCCUCUCACUUUCGUGAAAUGCUCAGCAGAAAUUCUCCACUGCAGAAGAGGUUCUUGAUACUAAGACGUUCAAGAUGGCUCACUCUGUAAAUGCAGGUUCUCUUUUGUCUCCAGCCAGCCCGGUGCUUGCUGAAGGGACUUGUCAACACAGUGGCCCUGGUGUCGGUGGUAGAGGCUCUGCAUGGGCUUCAACAACUUGGACUUUCUGUCUCCAAGGCUGCCCUGGUCCAUGCAAAGGCUGAGGGCUCAGGUGGCCAGCAACAGCGACCAGUUCGGACUUCUGGACUUAGCAUUACACCUCCAGGCACCUCGCCAGUUCUCUGCUGGCAAAUAUGUUAUGGUGGAUCUCUUCCAUCGUGGGGAGUGGGGAGCAGUAAUUUUAGAUCUUAUGUAAUGACUUCCUUUAUGAUAGCUGCGGAUCAUCUCUCAUCCUGCCAUCCUCUCUGCUUCCCUUCUGUAUCCUUUCAACAGAACUUCUGAUUGAGUCAAUAUUCAGUAUUUACACGAUACCUAUGCAAAUAUUAUACAGAGUCAAGCAUCAUGAUAUAUUAUGAUCAUAUUUCUUAUUUUGUGCUUUUCCUGAGGUUAAAAAUUGCUCAUUUAAAUUUUUUUUCUUGUCUUUCUUUGUGCCAGUUACUGAUUUAAAUUGCCUUUCAGUAUAAUUUUAUGUGUCCCAGGAUAAAUACUAAUGGAGACCUACACACCACAUGUCUAAAUGUUCAAAAGCUGUAAAUCAAACUACUAAAUAAAAUCUCUUUUCUUCUCUAGACUUGACAUAUAUACCUUUACAACAAAACAAAAUUAUCUCAGGCUGUGGUUUUUGAGAUAAUGAUGCCUGUGAAUUAUUAGACAACUGAAUUUUAAUUUUUAUUGCAAAUGUCUGUGUUAGUGAUGUUUGGGAUAUCAGAUGGCAUUCAGUCAUCGUGUUCCAUUUGUCUCUAUUCUGUGACCAUUGUUUGAUCUUUCCUGACCAUAACAGUUUCAAAGAGUGCUGGUCAG